rnacentral:rRNA from 1 species
AGAGUUUGAUCAUGGCUCAGAUUGAACGCUGGCGGCAGGCUUAACACAUGCAAGUCGAGCGGUAACAGAAAGUAGCUUGCUACUUUGCUGACGAGCGGCGGACGGGUGAGUAAUGCCUAGGAAUCUGCCUAGUAGUGGGGGAUAACUUGCCGAAAGGUAAGCUAAUACCGCAUACGUCCUACGGGAGAAAGCAGGGGACUCUUCGGAGCCUUGCGCUAUUAGAUGAGCCUAGGUCGGAUUAGUUAGUUGGUAGGGUAAAGGCCUACCAAGGCGACGAUGCGUAGCCGACCUGAGAGGGUGAACGGCCACACUGGGACUGAGACACGGCCCAGACUCCUACGGGAGGCAGCAGUAGGGAAUCUUCGGCAAUGGGCGAAAGCCUGACCGAGCAACGCCGCGUGAAUGAUGAAGGCCUUCGGGUUGUAAAAUUCUGUUAUAAGGGAAGAACGACUUUAGUAGGAAAUGGCUAAAGUGUGACGGUACCUUAUGAGAAAGCCACGGCUAACUACGUGCCAGCAGCCGCGGUAAUACGUAGGUGGCAAGCGUUAUCCGGAAUUAUUGGGCGUAAAGAGCGCGCAGGUGGUUGAUUAAGUCUGAUGUGAAAGCCCACGGCUUAACCGUGGAGGGUCAUUGGAAACUGGUCGACUUGAGUGCAGAAGAGGGAAGUGGAAUUCCAUGUGUAGCGGUGAAAUGCGUAGAGAUAUGGAGGAACACCAGUGGCGAAGGCGGCUUCCUGGUCUGUAACUGACACUGAGGCGCGAAAGCGUGGGGAGCAAACAGGAUUAGAUACCCUGGUAGUCCACGCCGUAAACGAUGAGUGCUAAGUGUUGGGGGUCGAACCUCAGUGCUGAAGUUAACGCAUUAAGCACUCCGCCUGGGGAGUACGGUCGCAAGGUUGAAACUCAAAGGAAUUGACGG